CCGACAGGAGGCUUUGAAAGGAACGCCGGACUAAGCGGGUGCCCGGAGGGGGACCUUCCAGGUGGAUGUCACAUCUCUAAACAUGCUCUGGACUCCUGGAAAAGUGGGCACCAUCAGACAUAUCUGAUAAGUUGAUAUAUCACUGCUGAGGAAACAUGGCAAGAAAUAUGUCAGAGCCACAGGACUCAGAGGAGCAGCUGCUGUAGAAGUGGUAGAGGCUGAAAAGGAAUCCUGGCCUUGCUCCUAAACAACGACCAUGGGCAAGUCAUUGUCUCUUCGUGGUUUUCACUUUCAUAUGUCUAUAGUAAGAAGAUUGGACCAGACGAACUUCUGGUUUCUCUUAGCUCUGACCCUCCUUCUGAUUCUGUUCAGCCAUAGUAUGGUAGACUGAAGAAUGAUUACCAGAGAUACUCUUGUCCUAAUCUAAAACCUGGGGAUGUCACCUUAAAUGGAAAAAAUGACUUUAAAGUUAUGAUUAAGGAUAUUAAGAUGGGGAGAUUAUCCUGUACAUUUUGAGUGUUCCAUAGUUGUAAUCACAAGGAUCUUUAUAAAGAGAACACUAAGGGACAUUUGACACUGAAAAAGAGAAGUCAGUGUGACUACAGAGCCAGAGAUUAGAGUGAUGUGGCCACAA